CCUACGGGAGGCAGCAGUGAGGAAUAUUGGUCAAUGGACGAGAGUCUGAACCAGCCAAGUAGCGUGAAGGAUGACUGCCCUAUGGGUUGUAAACUUCUUUUAUAUGGGAAUAAAAUGUUCCACGUUUGGGAUUUUGUAUGUACCAUAUGAAUAAGGAUCGGCUCACUCCGUGCCAGCAGCCGCGGUAAUACGGAGGAUCCGAGCGUUAUCCGGAUUUAUUGGGUUUAAAGGGAGCGUAGGUGGAUUGUUAAGUCAGUUGUGAAAGUUUGCGGCUCAACCGUAAAAUUGCAGUUGAAACUGGCAGUCUUGAGUACAGUAGAGGUAGGCGGAAUUCGUGGUGUAGCGGUGAAAUGCUUAGAUAUCACGAAGAACUCCGAUUGCGAAGGCAGUUCACUGGACUGCAACUGACACUGAGGCUCGAAAGUGUGGGUAUCAAACAGGAUUAGAUACCCUUGUAGUC
rnacentral:rRNA from 1 species